UUGACAAUGCAAUUUGUGGUUCAUUUAAUUCUCUCCGACAUUUCUCGAUUUCUAGUUCAUUAUUAUAGUGCACUUUUAUUGUGAACAUUUUACUGCAUUGUUAGGAGCUGGUAACAUAAGCAUUUUGCUUUUCACCAGGGUAUAACAUCUACUAAACCGUAUGUAUACGCGAGCAAUAAACCUUCAUUUGGACUAACGUUAUAGUAGGACGUUAGAUAACUUCCGGUUCGUUGAGCGCCUGAAAGUGGGAUCAGAAACAAGUAUGAACCGUGUAGAUGGACAAACAAGAUAUCUAACUACACAGAGUGACAUUAAAAUAGGCACAACAAUCCAGCUUCACUACCAGAUAGUAGGUAACUAAGGAUAUCCCGGUGGCGAUAAUGACACGUGUGUUCGGCAUACUGUGCUCUCUGUACCCGCAUGUCCAGACUCUGGAGGAGUUUGCAGACAGUACUGUAUUCAGAGAGGGACAGAGAGCGGUGCUCAUCGAACCGACAGAUACAAACCGCUUUAUAUCGUUUGUCCGGGGAGUGUAUGUCUGCACGGAUAAAACACUACAAAACGUCCCCAGCUGCAGUCAGAUCAGCACCUUGCCUGAGCUGUUGGCGUUCGUGUUGAACAACAUCAAGAGGAAAAAGAAAAGGAAUGUUCUUGCCCACGGUUACGGUUACCCCUCCACGUUCCGGGACCGUGACGCCGACCAGUUUAAGUUCCACGGCGAGGUCACUCAGAGUGCAGCGUACAUCCACGGCAGUGACUUAUGGAAGAGGAUCUGCCAGCGCCUCGGCACGGACGUCUCCAAGUACCUCCUGGAGAGCUGUUCUGUGUUCGUGACGGUGCCGCCGUCGUCCGCGUUCCAGGUGUGCGGCGUGCCUGUGUACGACCGCGUUUCCAUGUCAACGGGUAUCUCUAGGUUCCGCCUGGGAUACAAACGGAAUGACACGACUAGGAACAGGAGAAGUAAGGAGGUCAGAAAUAAGGGAUGGGAAUUUCAGGGUUCUGAUGUGAGAAAAAGGAGAAGGGAUGUAGGUAGAGACACUGGGAAAAGGAACAGAGAAGAGGUCAGUUUAGGAGGGAAGUGGAAGAGGAAGAGGGAGGAGGUGGAAGGAGAGGGGUGUUUGCCUGGAAAAAGGAGAUGCGCUCAAAGGGAAGCUUCCACAGUCUCCAGUGGGACUAACGAUCGUAAGCACAGAACACUGGAAACAAAUGGGGUCAAGCGACCAGUGGAGGCUGUGAUGGUCACCAUAGAACCCACAGAGAAACCAGUGGAGGCUGUGAUGGUCACCAUAGAACCCACAGAGAAACCAGUGGAGGCUGUGAUGGUCACCAUAGAACCCACAGAGAAACCAGUGGAGGCUGUGAUGGUCACCAUAGAACCCACAGAGAAACCAGUGGAGGCUGUGAUGGUCACCAUAGAACCCACAGAGAAACCAGUGGAGGCUGUGAUGGUCACCAUAGAACCCACAGAGAGCUGUAAGCAGGUCACCAAUGGCACAGGUAAUAUUGAGCAGAUGUCAGUGAAAACAGGACAUAGACGGCCAGUGGCGACACCGGCUAUAGUCCAAAGACCAGUAGAAGAACAGUCUGGACACGUAUCAGCCACUGUCCAUCUAGAGGGGGGUCCUAGUUGGAGAUCAGGAUUAUUCCCACCACUCCCUCCAUCCCAGUGUUUCAUCCGCACCCUGGGGAUGCUCUACGGAGGGCGGGGCAUGCGUAGCUUCCUACUAAACAGGAAGAGGAAAGGUAGGGAUGAGGGGCCUAGGCGUCUGCAGGGGCGAGACUUAGUGAGACUAGUCUUCUUUGAAGGCGUGGCCUAUCUGAACGGAACAGAGAAGAAGCCUAAGAGACUUCCCAGAAGGUUUUUCACCUCAGUGCCUUUGUUUAGUCAGUUGUUACGUCGACACAGGAGGUGUCCCUAUUCUAAGAUACUGCAGAGGGUUUGUCCAGUGGUGGGACAGGGGGAUAUGGCCUCCCUCCUGCCCCAGCACAGUGCACCUCACCGGGUAUACCUCUUUGUCAGAGAGUGCCUCACCAUGGUGGUCCCCCCGGAGCUCUGGGGGUCGGACCAUAACCGAUUCAAAUUCAUGUCCGCAGUCAGGAACUUCCUGUCCAUGGGCAAGUUUGAGAGGAUCUCAUUGGCUGAGCUGAUGUGGAAGAUGAAGGUGAAUGACUGUGAUUGGCUGAAGGUCAGCAAGACGGGCCGCUGCCCGCCCAGUGAGCUGUCGUAUCGGACGCGGGUGCUAGGCCAGCUCCUGGCUUGGCUGCUGGAUGGCUAUGUGCUAGGCCUGGUGAGAGCUAUGUUCUACGUCACAGAGAGCAUGGGACAGAAGAACGCACUGCGCUUCUACAGAUACCAGGUCUGGGCCAAGCUACAGGAGCUGGCUUUCAGGGGUCACCUCUCUAAAGGUCAGAUGUCAGAGUUGACCCUGGCCCAGGUGACGUCGCUCCCCAAAACCACUGUCACCUCCCGCCUCCGCUUCAUCCCCAAGACCGACGGCAUGAGACCCAUCACACGGGUCAUAGGGGCUGACGCCAAAACAAAGAUGUUCCAGGCCAGUGUGAGGGACCUGUUAGAUGUGCUAGGUGUCUGUGUACGGUCCUCUCCCUCUCUCCUGGGCUCUACAGUGUGGGGGAUGACCGACAUCCACAGAGUCCUCUCCUCCAUCACCCCUGCUCAGAAAGACAAACCACAGCCGCUCUACUUUGUCAAGGUGGAUGUGAGUGGGGCCUAUGACAGUCUACCCCACGCUCAGCUCUUGGAGGUGAUUGGUCAGGUCCUGUCACAUGUGCAGGAAGAGCUCUUCUCAGUGCGACGCUAUGCCAAGGUGUGGGCCGACACCCACGAGGGCCUCAAGAAGAAGUUUGUCAGACAGGCAGACUUCAUGGAAGACACUGUGGCGUCCACCAACAUGAAAGGCUUUGUGAUGUCACUGCAGAGAGAGGGCAAAGUUCACGAUGCCAUACUGGUGGAGCAGCAUUUCUCCACAGAUAUUCAUGGCAAAGACGUCUUGGAGUUCUUCACCCAGAUGCUCUCUAGCUGUGUUGUCCAGUUUGGGAAGAAAACAUUCCGUCAGUGUUCAGGGAUUCCUCAGGGUUCUGUGGUGUCGUCUCUGCUGUGUUGCCUCUGUUACGGUCACAUGGAGAACUUUCUGUUCCCUAACGUCAGUCAGAGAGGAGGGUGUCUGAUGAGAGUGGUUGACGAUUUCCUCCUCAUCACUCCUGACCUGAGCCAGGCACAGACCUUCCUCAAGACACUGAUGGCGGGGGUACCACAGUACGGGUGUGUGGUGAACCCCCAGAAGGUGGCUGUUAACUUCCCUUUGAGGGAGUGGGGUGAUGGGGGGUCCUGUCCUGCUGGGGUACGCCUGCUGCCCUUACACUGUCUGUUCCCCUGGUGUGGACUACUGCUGAAUACACACACUCUGGACGUGCACAAUGACUACUCUAGCUACGCUGGCCUAUCCCUGCGCUACAGCCUGACGCUAGGCUCCGCCCACUGUGCAGGGCAGCAAAUGAAGAGGAAGCUUAUGUCCAUCCUUAGACUCAAGUGCCACGCCCUCUUCCUGGACCUCAAAACCAACUCUCUGGAGGCUGUCUAUAAGAACAUCUAUAAGCUAGUGUUGCUACAGGCGUGCAGGUUCCAUGCCUGUGCACAGAGUUUGCCGUUUGGUCAGAAAGUGGGCAGAAACCACGCUUACUUCCGCAAUCUGAUCUGGGACAUGGCGGAGCACACCAACCAGCUAGUCAGACUCUGCAACAAAGGUCUGUCUCUAGGCUGUAAGGCUAUAACGGGUAGCCUUCAGUAUGAGGCAGUAGAACUGAUGUACUGUGUGGCCUUCCUGUUGGUUCUAUCCCGCCAUCGCCCUCUCUACAACGAUCUCCUCGCUCCGCUACGCACGCGUACGUAGACCACCCUACUGUCUUUAGACCACUCUCUUCCUUCAACAAUAUAUUCCUGAAAUAUACUACACUGUAAAUACAUUAAACCUGCAAGAUAACUGCAACGUUGUGACGGUAUAUCAUGGUUCUAACUGGCAUUGAAGACCGCAAAGUCCAGUAUUGACUUGAUCCAGUAUUGUUAUUGAUCCAGUAUUGAUAUGAUCAGGUUAUUGAUCCAGUAUUGAUAUGAUCAGGUUAGUGGUUAUUGAUCCAGUAUUGAUAUGAUCAGGUUAUUGAUUCAGUAUUGAUAUGAUCAGGUUAUUGAUCCAGUAUUGAUAUGUUCAGGUUAUUGAUCCAGUAUUGAUAUGAUCAGGUUAGUGGUUAUUGAUCCAGUAUUGAUAUGAUCAGGUUAUUGAUCCAGUAUUGAUAUGAUCAGGUUAUUGAUCCAGUAUUGAUAUGAUCAGGUUAUUGAUCCAGUAUUGAUAUGUUCAGGUUAGUGGUUAUUGAUUCAGUAUUGAUAUGAUCAGGUUAUUGAUCCAGUAUUGAUAUGAUCAGGUUAUUGAUCCAGUAUUGAUAUGAUCAGGUUAGUGGUUAUUGAUCCAGUAUUGAUAUGAUCAGGUUAUUGAUCCAGUAUUGAUAUGAUCAGGUUAUUGAUCCAGUAUUGAUAUGAUCAGGUUAUUGAUCCAGUAUUGAUAUGAUCAGGUUAUUGAUUCAGUAUUGAUAUGAUCAGGUUAUUGAUCCAGUAUUGAUAUGUUCAGGUUAUUGAUCCAGUAUUGAUAUGAUCAGGUUAGUGGUUAUUGAUCCAGUAUUGAUAUGAUCAGGUUAUUGAUCCAGUAUUGAUAUGAUCAGGUUAGUGGUUAUUGAUCCAGUAUUGAUAUGAUCAGGUUAUUGAUCCAGUAUUGAUAUGAUCAGGUUAGUGGUUAUUGAUCCAGUAUUGAUAUGAUCAGGUUAUUGAUCCAGUAUUGAUAUGAUCAGGUUAUUGAUCCAGUAUUGAUAUGACGGUGAAAGGACGGGGUUGGUCAACAGACCGCAUGCAGUGCAGGUCCAGAGGUGCCUACCCUUAUAGUAAAGGGUCAGUAAGUAUGGAGGUUGUCAUUAAUCUUAUUUUUUAUAUAUCAUUUUUUGUUGUUGUAUGUUUUACUGGAGAGUGAGGUGAAAGGUAGGAGAGAUGGUGCUGAAAGAGUAGUGGGACAGAGAUGUGGGACAGAGAUGCGGGACAGAGAUGCGAAGCCAUGCCGGCAGUGGGACAUGUACUCCAGAGGCAUUGUCUUAGAGCGGUAGACCAGCCCAGGCCACGUUGAGUUCAUUUCUAAAGAUUGUAACAUCCCACUGGAUUGGACAUAUUUUCUCUCAACCACUUUAUGGACACCAUAACUGUUUAUUUACCUGCCAUAGUCAGUGGCUGUGUAUGUGUCAGCUUUAACUGUGUUUCUCUCUACAGGUAAGAGGAAGCUGGAGAGGAAACUGGAGGGUUUGAGAUUGGCACGAAUCAGACAAGCUGCCACACCCAAAAUACCUGAGGACUUCAAGGCCAUCUGGGCCUAGAGGAGAAUUUCCACUACUGCGACCUUUCGCCCUCUGCUCCUUGUCCCCUUUUAACGUCGUCUUAACCUCGUCAGUGCAUCGAGGGGGCCUGCAUAGCACAGCAGGUAGGGGACUUGUACAGUCGGGUCAGAAUACUGUCUAGACAAUUGUAAUUUAUUCCGGGGUCAUUAUUUUGUAUACUAGCUCAUGUUUUUGAUUCUGUUGUACGUUUAAAGCGGACAGUGGGUGUAGUACUGUAAGCGAUAAGGAUGAAUCAUAAAAGGCUGUCUUUUUUUUAAAUGACUAAAAAAAAUAAAGAUUUAUGUAAGAUCAA